rnacentral:rRNA from 1 species
UACGGGGGGCGCAAGCGUUACUCGGCAUUACUGGGCGUAAAGCGCGCGUAGGCGGCUUUGUAAGUUAGAGGUGAAAGCCCGGAGCUCAACUCCGGAACUGCCUUUAAGACUGCAUCGCUAGAAUUGUGGAGAGGUAAGUGGAAUUCCGAGUGUAGAGGUGAAAUUCGUAGAUAUUCGGAAGAACACCAGUGGCGAAGGCGACUUACUGGACACAUAUUGACGCUGAGGUGCGAAAGCGUGGGGAGCAAACAGG